rnacentral:tRNA from 1 species
GGAUGGAUGUCUGAGCGGUUGAAAGAGUCGGUCUUGAAAACCGAAGUAUUGAUAGGAAUACCCGGGUUCGAAUCCCUCUCCAUCCG